AAUAGAUACCCGGGUAGUCCAUGCCGUAAACGUUGGGCACUAGGUGUGGGGCUCAUUCCACGAGUUCCGUGCCGCAGCAAACGCAUUAAGUGCCCCGCCUGGGGAGUACGGCCGCAAGGCUAAAACUCAAAGGAAUUAACGGGGGCCCGCACAAGCGGCGGAGCAUGCGGAUUAAUUCGAUGCAACGCGAAGAACCUUACCAAGGCUUGACAUGCACGGGAAGCCACCAGAGAUGGUGGUCUCUUUGGACACUCGUGCACAGGUGGUGCAUGGUUGUCGUCAGCUCGUGUCGUGAGAUGUUGGGUUAAGUCCCGCAACGAGCGCAACCCUCGUCCCAUGUUGCCAGCGGGUUAUGCCGGGGACUCAUGGGAGACUGCCGGGGUCAACUCGGAGGAAGGUGGGGAUGACGUCAAAUCAUCAUGCCCCUUAUGUCUUGGGCUUCACGCAUGCUACAAUGGCCGGUACAAAGGGCUGCGAUACCGUAAGGUGGAGCGAAUCCCAAAAAGCCGGUCUCAGUUCGGAUUGGGGU
rnacentral:rRNA from 1 species